rnacentral:rRNA from 1 species
AGUGAACGCUGGCGGUAGGCCUAACACAUGCAAGUCGAACGGCAGCACAGGAGAGCUUGCUCUCUGGGUGGCGAGUGGCGGACGGGUGAGGAAUACAUCGGAAUCUACUUUUUCGUGGGGGAUAACGUAGGGAAACUUACGCUAAUACCGCAUACGACCUACGGGUGAAAGCAGGGGACCUUCGGGCCUUGCGCGAUUGAAUGAGCCGAUGUCGGAUUAGGUAGUUGGCGGGGUAAAGGCCCACCAAGGCGACGAUCCGUAGCUGGUCUGAGAGGAUGAUCAGCCACACUGGAACUGAGACACGGUCCAGACUCCUACGGGAGGCAGCAGUGGGGAAUAUUGGACAAUGGGCGCAAGCCUGAUCCAGCCAUACCGCGUGGGUGAAGAAGGCCUUCGGGUUGUAAAGCCCUUUUGUUGGGAAAGAAAUCCAGCUGGCUAAUACCCGGUUGGGAUGACGGUACCCCAAGAAUAAGCACCGGCUAACUUCGUGCCAGCCGCCGCAGUAA